rnacentral:lncRNA from 1 species
UAGUAAAGUACUCUGGAGACUCGUGCCACGGUGGAGCGACCACCGACAGCGAAAACAGACUAGUGAGUAUGAUCCAAUCCUCUUAAGAGGAUACCCUAUCUACAAGGGUCAAUGUGCCUCUGCUGCACAAUAUACAAUGCAUCCUAGAUGCCGGGACCUCUACUAUCCCAAGAACCAUGUCAUGUUUACUACACUAGACUCGAUGCCACUCGUUCAGUCGUUGUAGUAAUAUCUUCUAACUAGUCGACAUGUCACUCGUUCAAGUUUAGUGUUUCUACUAUACUAGUCAA